rnacentral:rRNA from 1 species
GACGAACGCUGGCGGCGUGCUUAACACAUGCAAGUCGAACGGCAAGGCCCUGCUUUUGUGGGGUUCUCGAGUGGCGAACGGGUGAGUAACACGUGAGUAACCUGCCCUUGACUUUGGGAUAACUUCAGGAAACUGGGGCUAAUACCGGAUAGGAGCUCCUGCUGCAUGGUGGGGGUUGGAAAGUUUCGGCGGGUGGGGAUGGACUCGCGGCUUAUCAGCUUGUUGGUGGGGUAGUGGCUUACCAAGGCUUUGACGGGUAGCCGGCCUGAGAGGGUGACCGGCCACAUUGGGACUGAGAUACGGCCCAGACUCCUACGGGAGGCAGCAGUGGGGAAUAUUGCACAAUGGGCGGAAGCCUGAUGCAGCAACGCCGCGUGCGGGAUGACGGCCUUCGGGUUGUAAACCGCUUUCGCCUGUGACGAAGCGUGAGUGACGGUAAUGGGUAAAGAAGCACCGGCUAACUACGUG